AACGAACGCUGGCGGCAGGCCUAACACAUGCAAGUCGAACGCUCUAGCAAUAGAGAGUGGCAGACGGGUGAGUAACGCGUGGGAACCUACCUAGUGGUACGGAAUAGCUCAGGGAAACUUGGGGUAAUACCGUAUGCGCCCGAAAGGGGAAAGAUUUAUCGCCAUUAGAUGGGCCCGCGUAGGAUUAGCUAGUUGGUGAGGUAAUGGCUCACCAAGGCAACGAUCCUUAGCUGGUUUGAGAGAAUGACCAGCCACACUGGGACUGAGACACGGCCCAGACUCCUACGGGAGGCAGCAGUGGGGAAUCUUGGACAAUGGGCGCAAGCCUGAUCCAGCCAUGCCGCGUGAGUGACGAAGGCCUUAGGGUUGUAAAGCUCUUUUGGCGGGGACGAUAAUGACGGUACCCGCAGAAUAAGCCCCGGCUAACUUCGUGCCAGCAGCCGCGGUAAGGCACGACUGU
rnacentral:rRNA from 1 species